rnacentral:rRNA from 1 species
GUGGGGAAUUUUGGACAAUGGGCGCAAGCCUGAUCCAGCAAUGCCGCGUGCAGGAAGAAGGCCUUCGGGUUGUAAACUGCUUUUGUACGGAACGAAACGGUCCGGGUUAAUACCCUGGGCUAAUGACGGUACCGUAAGAAUAAGCACCGGCUAACUACGUGCCAGCAGCCGCGGUAAUACGUAGGGUGCAAGCGUUAAUCGGAAUUACUGGGCGUAAAGCGUGCGCAGGCGGUUUUGUAAGACAAGCGUGAAAUCCCCGGGCUCAACCUGGGAAUUGCGCUUGUGACUGCAAGGCUGGAGUGCGGCAGAGGGGGAUGGAAUUCCGCGUGUAGCAGUGAAAUGCGUAGAUAUGCGGAGGAACACCGAUGGCGAAGGCAAUCCCCUGGGCCUGCACUGACGCUCAUGCACGAAAGCGUGGGGAGCAAACAGGAUUAGAAACCCCGGUAGUCC